rnacentral:rRNA from 1 species
AUUGAACGCUGGCGGCAUGCUUUACACAUGCAAGUCGAACGGUAACAGGCCGCAAGGUGCUGACGAGUGGCGAACGGGUGAGUAAUGCAUCGGAACGUGCCCAGUCGUGGGGGAUAACGCAGCGAAAGCUGCGCUAAUACCGCAUACGAUCUAUGGAUGAAAGCGGGGGACCUGUAAGGGCCUCGCGCGAUUAGAACGGCCGAUGUCAGAUUAGGUAGUUGGUGGGGUAAAGGCUCACCAAGCCGACGAUCUGUAGCUGGUCUGAGAGGACGACCAGCCAAACUGGGACUGAGACACGGCCCAGACUCCUACGGGAGGCAGCAGUGGGGAAUUUUGGACAAUGGGCGCAAGCCUGAUUCAGCAAUGCCGCGUGCAGGAAGGAGGCCUUCGGGUUGUAAACUGCUUUUGUACGGAACGAAACGGCUCUGGUUAAUACCUGGGGCUAAUGACGGUACCGUAAGAAUAAGCACCGGCUAACUACGUGCCAGCCGCCGCGGUAAAAC